rnacentral:rRNA from 1 species
GCGGUGAAAGCUGAAGGUUGCCUUCGGAAGCCAGAACACAGGUGGUGCAUGGCUGUCGUCAGCUCGUGCCGUGAGAUGUUGGGUUAAGUCCCGCAACGAGCGCAACCCUCGUUCUUAGUUGCCAGCAUUUCGGAUGGGCACUCUAGGGAGACUGCCGGUGACAAACCGGAGGAAGGUGGGGAUGACGUCAAGUCAGCAUGCCCCUUACGUCCUGGGCUACACACGUACUACAAUGCUCGAGACAAAGGGCAGCAAGUAUGCGAAUACAAGCAAAUCUCAGAAACUCGGGCUCAGUUCUGAUCGCAGGCUGCAACUCGCCUGCGUGAAGUCGGAAUCGCUAGUAAUUGCAGGUCAGCAUACUGCAGUGAAUUCGUUCCCGGGCCUUGUACACACCGCCCGUCACACCAUGGAAGCUGGUCACGCCCGAAGUCGUUACCCUAACCGUCAAAGGAGGGGGACGCCGAAGGUAGGACUGGUGACUGGGGUGAAGUCGUAACAAGGUAA